UUGGUGUCUCUGUGUGUUUACGGUGUUUUGGUGUCUCUGUGUGUGUUUAUGGUGUUUUGGUGUCUCUGUGUGUGUUUAAGGUGUUUUGGUGUCUCUGUGUGUGUUUAUGGUGUUUUGGUGUCUCUGUGUGUGUUUAUGGUGUUUUGGUGUCUGUGUGUGUGUUUACGGUGUUGUGGUCUGUGUGUGUGUUUACGGUGUUGUGGUCUCUGUGUGUGUUUACGGUGUUUUGGUGUCUGUGUGUGUUUACGGUGUUUUGGUGUCUGUGUGUGUUUACGGUGUUUUGGUGUCUGUGUGUGUUUACGGUGUUUUGGUGUCUGUGUGUGUGUUUAAGGUGUUUUGGUGUCUCUGUGUGUGUUUAAGGUGUUUUGGUGUCUCUGUGUGUGUUUAAGGUGUUUUGGUGUCUCUGUGUGUGUUUAUGGUGUUUUGGUGUCUCUGUGUGUGUUUACAGUGUUUUGGUCUCUGUGUGUGUUUACAGUGUUUUGGUGUUGUCUAUGUGUGUGUUUACAGUGUUUUGGUCUCUGUGUUUAUGGUGUUUUGGUCUGUGUGUGUUUAUGGUGUUUUGGUCUCUGUGUGUGUUUAAGGUGUUUUGGUGUCUCUGUGUGUGUUUACGGUGUUUUGGUGUCUCUGUGUGUGUUUACGGUGUUUUGGUGUCUCUGUGUGUGUUUACGGUGUUUUGGUGUCUCUGUGUGUGUUAAAGGUCUUUUGGUGUCUCUGUGUGUUUACGGUGUUUUGGUGUCUCUGUGUGUGUUUACAGUGUUUUGGUCUCUGUGUGUGUUUACAGUGUUUUGGUGUUGUCUCUGUGUGUGUUUACGGUGUUUUGGUGUCUCUGUGUGUUUAAGGUGUUUUGGUGUCUGUGUGUGUUUACGGUGUUUUGGUCUCUGUGUGUGUUUAAGGUGUUUUGGUGUCUCUGUGUGUGUUUACACUGUUUUGGUGUCUCUGUGUGUGUCUGAGGUGUUUUGGUGUCUCUGUGUGUGUUUGAGGUGUUUUGGUGUCUCUGUGUGUGUUUACAGUGUUUUGGUCUCUGUGUGUGUUUACAGUGUUUUGGUGUUGUCUCUGUGUGUGUUUACGGUGUUUUGGUGUCUCUGUGUGUGUUUACGGUGUUUUGGUGUGUGUGUGUUUACGGUGUUUUGGUCUCUGUGUGUGUCUGAGGUGUUUUGGUGUCUCUGUGUGUGUUUGAGGUGUUUUGGUGUCUCUGUGUGUGUUUACAGUGUUUUGGUCUCUCUGUGUGUUUAAGGUGUUUUGGUGUCUCUGUGUGUUUACGGUGUUUUGGUGUCUCUGUGUGUUUACGGUGUUUUGGUGUCUCUGUGUGUGUUUACGGUGUUUUGGUGUCUCUGUGUGUGUUUACGGUGUUUUGGUGUCUCUGUGUGUGUUUACGGUGUUUUGGUGUCUCUGUGUGUGUUUAAGGUGUUUUGGUGUCUCUGUGUGUGUUUAAGGUGUUUUGGUGUCUCUGUGUGUGUUUAUGGUGUUUUGGUGUCUCUGUGUGUGUUUAUGGUGUUUUGGUGUCUGUGUGUGUGUUUACGGUGUUGUGGUCUGUGUGUGUGUUUACGGUGUUGUGGUGUCCCUGUGUGUGUUUACGGUGUUUUGGUCUCUGUGUGUGUUUAAGGUGUUUUGGUGUCUCUGUGUGUGUUUACAGUGUUUUGGUCUCUCUGUGUGUUUAAGGUGUUUUGGUGUUGUCUCUGUGUGUGUUUACGGUGUUUUGGUGUCUCUGUGUGUGUUUACGGUGUUUUGGUGUCUCUGUGUGUGUUUACGGUGUUUUGGUGUGUGUGUGUGUUUACGGUGUUUUGGUCUCUGUGUGUGUCUGAGGUGUUUUGGUGUCUCUGUGUGUGUUUGAGGUGUUUUGGUCUCUGUGUGUUUAAGGUGUUUUGGUGUCUCUGUGUGUGUUUAAGGUGUUUUGGUGUCUCUGUGUGUGUUUAAGGUGUUUUGUUGUCUCUGUGUGUGUUUACAGUGUUUUGGUGUCUGUGUGUGUGUUUAAGGUGUUUUGGUGUCUCUGUGUGUUUACGGUGUUUUGGUGUCUCUGUGUGUGUUUACAGUGUUUUUGUGUCUCUGUGUGUGUUUACGGUGUUUUGGUCUCUGUGUGUGUUUAAGGUGUUUUGGUGUCUCUGUGUGUGUUUACGGUGUUUUGGUCUCUGUGUGUGUUUACAGUGUUUUGGUGUCUGUGUGUGUGUUUAUGGUGUUUUGGUCUCUGUGUGUGUUUAUGGUGUUUUGGUCUCUGUGUGUGUUUAAGGUGUUUUGGUGUCUCUGUGUGUGUUUACAGUGUUUUGGUCUCUGUGUGUGUUUAAGGUGUUUUGGUGUCUCUGUGUGUGUUUACAGUGUUUUGGUGUCUGUGUGUGUGUUUAUGGUGUUUUGGUCUCUGUGUG